GGUUAAGCGACUAAGCGUACACGGUGGAUGCCCUGGCAGUCAGAGGCGAUGAAGGGCGUGCUAAUCUGCGAUAAGCGCCGGUAAGGUGAUAUGAACCGUUAUAACCGGCGAUACCCGAAUGGGGAAACCCAGUGUGAUUCGUCACACUAUCAUUAACUGAAUCCAUAGGUUAAUGAGGCGAACCGGGGGAACUGAAACAUCUAAGUACCCCGAGGAAAAGAAAUCAACCGAGAUUCCCCCAGUAGCGGCGAGCGAACGGGGAGGAGCCCAGAGCCUGAAUCAGCAUGUGUGUUAGUGGAAGCGUCUGGAAAGGCGCGCGAUACAGGGUGACAGCCCCGUACACAAAAGCGCAUGUGUUGUGAGCUCGAUGAGUAGGGCGGGACACGUGGUAUCCUGUCUGAAUAUGGGGGGACCAUCCUCCAAGGCUAAAUACUCCUGACUGACCGAUAGUGAACCAGUACCGUGAGGGAAAGGCGAAAAGAACCCCGGCGAGGGGAGUGAAAAAGAACCUGAAACCGUGUACGUACAAGCAGUGGGAGCACCCUUUGGGGUGUGACUGCGUACCUUUUGUAUAAUGGGUCAGCGACUUAUAUUCUGUAGCAAGGUUAACCGAAUAGGGGAGCCGGAGGGAAACCGAGUCUUAAUUGGGCGUUAAGUUGCAGGGUAUAGACCCGAAACCCGGUGAUCUAGCCAUGGGCAGGUUGAAGGUUGGGUAACACUAACUGGAGGACCGAACCGACUAAUGUUGAAAAAUUAGCGGAUGACCUGUGGCUGGGGGUGAAAGGCCAAUCAAACCGGGAGAUAGCUGGUUCUCCCCGAAAGCUAUUUAGGUAGCGCCUCGUGAAUUCAUCUCCGGGGGUAGAGCACUGUUUCGGCUAGGGGGCCAUCCCGGCUUACCAACCCGAUGCAAACUGCGAAUACCGGAGAAUGUUAUCACGGGAGACACACGGCGGGUGCUAACGUCCGUCGUGAAGAGGGAAACAACCCAGACCGCCAGCUAAGGUCCCAAAGUCAUAGUUAAGUGGGAAACGAUGUGGGAAGGCCCAGACAGCCAGGAUGUUGGCUUAGAAGCAGCCAUCAUUUAAAGAAAGCGUAAUAGCUCACUGGUCGAGUCGGCCUGCGCGGAAGAUGUAACGGGGCUAAACUAUGCACCGAAGCUGCGGCAGCGACACUAUGUGUUGUUGGGUAGGGGAGCGUUCUGUAAGCCUGUGAAGGUGUGUCGUGAGGCAUGCUGGAGGUAUCAGAAGUGCGAAUGCUGACAUAAGUAACGAUAAAGCGGGUGAAAAGCCCGCUCGCCGGAAGACCAAGGGUUCCUGUCCAACGUUAAUCGGGGCAGGGUGAGUCGACCCCUAAGGCGAGGCCGAAAGGCGUAGUCGAUGGGAAACGGGUUAAUAUUCCCGUACUUGGUGUUACUGCGAAGGGGGGACGGAGAAGGCUAUGUUGGCCGGGCGACGGUUGUCCCGGUUUAAGCGUGUAGGUGUGUGUUCCAGGUAAAUCCGGUUCACUUUAACACUGAGGCGUGA
rnacentral:rRNA from 1 species